rnacentral:rRNA from 1 species
UCGUCACACUAUCAUUAACUGAAUCCAUAGGUUAAUGAGGCGAACCGGGGGAACUGAAACAUCUAAGUACCCCGAGGAAAAGAAAUCAACCGAGAUUCCCCCAGUAGCGGCGAGCGAACGGGGAGGAGCCCAGAGCCUGAAUCAGCAUGUGUGUUAGUGGAAGCGUCUGGAAAGGCGCGCGAUACAGGGUGACAGCCCCGUACACAAAAGCGCAUGUGCUGUGAGCUCGAUGAGUAGGGCGGGACACGUGGUAUCCUGUCUGAAUAUGGGGGGACCAUCCUCCAAGGCUAAAUACUCCUGACUGACCGAUAGUGAACCAGUACCGUGAGGGAAAGGCGAAAAGAACCCCGGCGAGGGGAGUGAAAAAGAACCUGAAACCGUGUACGUACAAGCAGUGGGAGCACAGGUUUACCUGUGUGACUGCGUACCUUUUGUAUAAUGGGUCAGCGACUUAUAUUCUGUAGCAAGGUUAACCGWAUAGGGGAGCCGKAGGGAAACCGAGUCUUAAYYGGGCGUUAAGUUGCAGGGUAUAGACCCGAAACCCGGUGAUCUAGCCAUGGGCAGGUUGAAGGUUGGGUAACACUAACUGGAGGACCGAACCGACUAAUGUUGAAAAAUUAGCGGAUGACCUGUGGCUGGGGGUGAAAGGCCAAUCAAACCGGGAGAUAGCUGGUUCUCCCCGAAAGCUAUUUAGGUAGCGCCUCGUGAAUUCAUCUCCGGGGGUAGAGCACUGUUUCGGCUAGGGGGCCAUCCCGGCUU